rnacentral:rRNA from 5 species
ACGGGUGAGUAAUAUAUCGGAACGUGCCCAGUCGUGGGGGAUAACGUAGAGAAAUUUACGCUAAUACCGCAUACGAUCUAAGGAUGAAAGCGGGGGAUCGCAAGACCUCGCGCGAUUGGAGCGGCUGAUAUCAGAUUAGGUUGUUGGUGAGGUAAAAGCUCACCAAGCCGACGAUCUGUAGCUGGUUUGAGAGAACGACCAGCCACACUGGGACUGAGACACGGCCCAGACUCCUACGGGAGGCAGCAGUGGGGAAUUUUGGACAAUGGGCGAAAGCCUGAUCCAGCAAUGCCGCGUGCAGGAAGAAGGCCUUCGGGUUGUAAACUGCUUUUGUACGGAACGAAACGGCUCUUUCUAAUAAAGAGGGCUAAUGACGGUACCGUAAGAAUAAGCACCGGCUAACUACGUGCCAGCAGCCGCGGUAAUACGUAGGGUGCGAGCGUUAAUCGGAAUUACUGGGCGUAAAGCGUGCGCAGGCGGUUAUAUAAGACAGUUGUGAAAUCCCCGGGCUCAACCUGGGAAUUGCAUCUGUGACUGUAUAGCUAGAGUACGGUAGAGGGGGAUGGAAUUCCGCGUGUAGCAGUGAAAUGC